AGUGAACGCUGGCGGUAGGCCUAACACAUGCAAGUCGAACGGCAGCACAGUAAGAGCUUGCUCUUACGGGUGGCGAGUGGCGGACGGGUGAGGAAUACAUCGGAAUCUACUUUUUCGUGGGGGAUAACGUAGGGAAACUUACGCUAAUACCGCAUACGACCUACGGGUGAAAGCAGGGGAUCUUCGGACCUUGCGCGAUUGAAUGAGCCGAUGUCGGAUUAGCUAGUUGGCGGGGUAAAGGCCCACCAAGGCGACGCUCCGUAGCUGGUCUGAGAGGAUGAUCCGCCACACUGGAACUGAGACACGGUCCAGACUCCUACGGGAGGCAGCAGUGGGGAAUAUUGGACAAUGGGCGCAAGCCUGAUCCAGCCAUACCGCGUGGGUGAAGAAGGCCUUCGGGUUGUAAAGCCCUUUUGUUGGGAAAGAAAAGCAGCAGGUUAAUACCCCGCUGUUCUGACGGUACCCAAAGAAUAAGCACCGGCUAACUUCGUG
rnacentral:rRNA from 1 species